AUACGGAGGGUGCAAGCGUUGUUCGGAAUUACUGGGCGUAAAGCGCGCGUAGGUGAUCUGUUAUGUCAGAUGUGAAAGUCCACGGCUCAACCGUGGAAGUGCAUUUGAAACUGGCAGACUUGAGUACUGGAGGGGGUAGUGGAAUUCCCGGUGUAGAGGUGAAAUUCGUAGAUAUCGGGAGGAAUACCGGUGGCGAAGGCGACUACCUGGCCAGAUACUGACACUGAGGUGCGAAAGCGUGGGGAGCAAACAGGAUUAGAAACCCCAGUAGUCC
rnacentral:rRNA from 1 species